rnacentral:rRNA from 1 species
UACGUAGGGGGCUAGCGUUGUUCGGAAUUACUGGGCGUAAAGCGCACGUAGGCGGCUUUGUAAGUUAGAGGUGAAAGCCCAGGGCUUAACCCUGGAAUUGCCUUUAAGACUGCAUCGCUAGAAUUGUGGAGAGGUAAGUGGAAUUCCGAGUGUAGAGGUGAAAUUCGUAGAUAUUCGGAAGAACACCAGUGGCGAAGGCGACUUACUGGACACAUAUUGACGCUGAGGUGCGAAAGCGUGGGGAGCAAACAGG